rnacentral:rRNA from 1 species
UGGGGAAUAUUGCACAAUGGGGGAAACCCUGAUGCAGCGACGCCGCGUGAGCGAUGAAGUAUUUCGGUAUGUAAAGCUCUAUCAGCAGGGAAGAAUUAGGACGGUACCUGACUAAGAAGCACCGGCUAAAUACGUGCCAGCAGCCGCGGUAAUACGUAUGGUGCAAGCGUUAUCCGGAUUUACUGGGUGUAAAGGGAGCGUAGACGGAGAGGCAAGUCUGAUGUGAAAACCCGGGGCUCAACCCCGGGACUGCAUUGGAAACUGUUUUUCUAGAGUGUCGGAGAGGUAAGUGGAAUUCCUAGUGUAGCGGUGAAAUGCGUAGAUAUUAGGAGGAACACCAGUGGCGAAGGCGGCUUACUGGACGAUGACUGACGUUGAGGCUCGAAAGCGUGGGGAGCAAACAG